AUUGAACGCUGGCGGCAGGCCUAACACAUGCAAGUCGAACGAGGGGCGGACGGGUGAGUAAUGUCUGGGAAACUGCCUGAUGGAGGGGGCUAACUACUGGAAACGGUAGCUAAUACCGACUAUCAUCGGAUGUGCACAGUUGGGAUUAGCUGGGAGGUGGGGUAAAGGCGUAACAAGGCGACGGGCCCUAGCUGGUCUGAGAGGAUGACCAGCCACACUGGACAUGAGACACGGUCCAGACUCCUACGGGAGGCAGCAGUGGGGAAUAUUGCACAAUGGGCGAAAGCCUGAUGCAGCCAUGCCGCGUGUAUGAAGAAGGCCUUCGGGUUGUAAAGUACUUUCAGCGGGGAGGCGUUACCCGCAGAAGAAGCACCGGCUAACUCCGUGCCAGCAGCCGCGGUAAUAC
rnacentral:rRNA from 1 species